rnacentral:rRNA from 1 species
UACGUAGGGUGCAAGCGUUGUCCGGAAUUAUUGGGCGUAAGAGCUCGUAGGCGGUUUGUCGCGUCGACUGUGAAAACCUACAGCUUAACUGUGGGCUUGCAGUCGAUACGGGCAGACUUGAGUUCGGUAGGGGAGACUGGAAUUCCUGGUGUAGCGGUGAAAUGCGCAGAUAUCAGGAGGAACACCGGUGGCGAAGGCGGGUCUCUGGGCCGAUACUGACGCUGAGGAGCGAAAGCGUGGGGAGCGAACAGG